GGGGGUGACCGGUUUCGACUUGGGACGGUAGUUCCAGGGGAAGCGGGCCGAGGAUUCAGGGUUGUCUCGUUAACGCUCCCUGAUAACCAAUAAGUGCCAAGAACACGCGCACUCAUUUCGCUCUCGCUGCCUGAGCAGUGAUCGAAAGGUCAGACCACGGGUGCCUUCCCCGUGGACCCUGGCCUCAUUUUGAAGGCUAGCCGCAUCGCCUAGGUCCUAGGGGCGAAGCGGGACACAACUAGGGCUGGGCUCGUUCACCACAAGCCGACAGGAGGGUGAGAGCCGAGUGGAACGUCAUGGUCGGCUGCGCCCGGAGAAGACCUGUAGCGCCGCUCAAGGACGUGGGUUCGACUCCCACCACCUCCACUG
rnacentral:tmRNA from 1 species